AGUGAACGCUGGCGGUAGGCCUAACACAUGCAAGUCGAACGGCAGCACAGUAAGAGCUUGCUCUUACGGGUGGCGAGUGGCGGACGGGUGAGGAAUACAUCGGAAUCUACUUUUUCGUGGGGGACAACGUAGGGAAACUUACGCUAAUACCGCAUACGACCUACGGGUGAAAGCAGGGGAUCUUCGGACCUUGCGCGAUUGAAUGAGCCGAUGUCGGAUUAGCUAGUUGGCGGGGUAAAGGCCCACCAAGGCGACGAUCCGUAGCUGGUCUGAGAGGAUGAUCAGCCACACUGGAACUGAGACGCGGUCCAGACUCCUACGGGAGGCAGCAGCGGGGAAUAUUGGACAAUGGGCGCAAGCCUGAUUCAGCCAUACCGCGUGGGUGAAGAAGGCCUUCGGGUUGUAAAGCCCUUUUGUUGGGAAAGAAAAGCAGCAGGUUAAUACCCCGCUGUUCUGACGGUACCCAAAGAAUAAGCACCGGCUAACUUCGUG
rnacentral:rRNA from 1 species